CUCUGAGAGAGGUCAGGUGACUGAGGUCAGGUGACUGAGGUCAGGUGACUCUGAGAGAGGUCAGGUGACUCUGAGAGAGGUCAGGUGACUCUGAGAGAGGUCA